rnacentral:rRNA from 1 species
UACAGAGGUGGCAAGCGUUGUUCGGAAUUACUGGGCGUAAAGGGCGCGUAGGCGGCCUUCUAAGUCAGACGUGAAAUCCCCAGGCUUAACUUGGGAACUGCGUCUGAUACUGGAAGGCUUGAGUGCGGGAGAGGGAUGUGGAAUUCCACGUGUAGCGGUGAAAUGCGUAGAGAUGUGGAGUAACACCAGUGGCGAAGGCGGCUUUCUGGUCUGUAACUGACGCUGAGGCGCGAAAGCGUGGGGAGCAAACAGG